UGGGGAAUCUUGGACAAUGGGCGCAAGCCUGAUCCAGCCAUGCCGCGUGGAUGAUGAAGGCCUUAGGGUUGUAAAGCACUUUCAGCGAGGAGGAAGGGAGUUGUGUUAAUAGCACAGCUUCUUGACGUUACUCGCAGAAGAAGCACCGGCUAACUCUGUGCCAGCAGCCGCGGUAAUACAGAGGGUGCAAGCGUUAAUCGGAAUUACUGGGCGUAAAGCGCACGUAGGCGGUUCUUUAAGUCAGAUGUGAAAGCCCCGGGCUCAACCUGGGAAUUGCAUUUGAAACUGGAAAACUAGAGUGUGUGAGAGGGGGUAGAAUUCCAAGUGUAGCGGUGAAAUGCGUAGAGAUUUGGAGGAAUACCAGUGGCGAAGGCGGCCCCCUGGCACAACACUGACGCUCAGGUGCGAAAGCGUGGGGAGCAAACAGGAUUAGAUACCCUAGUAGUCCCUGAGCGGGCUGGCAAGGCGCAU
rnacentral:rRNA from 1 species